rnacentral:lncRNA from 1 species
CGACUGAAUUCGAAAACGUACGUUUCCUCGUGAGAUCAGGUUCUAUAGUUAUUGUUUUUUAUUAAUAUUAAUGUUAUGUCACUUGCUUAUCAUGAUUUUUUAAAAUAAAUUUAUUACCAUUGGCAACGCAAACAUUUGCCUCAUGUCCGCGUGCGCGCGCCUCCGCUAAACGAUUUCAAACCGAAGGACUCGAGGAUUGGGCCAGAAAGCAGUCCAGAAUGAUCAAAGAUGGAAAAUGAAAGCUCUCCAAGAGCUCGUCAGAUGUGCUGAGUCUGCUUACCCGUGCAAGGCUUCGAGUGCAGAAUGAAUUGGUUCAGAAAGUUUCAUCUGUCAGUCUCCUGUUGGCGUGGAGCCUAAACUUCUCUGAGUACUGUGUGCGUCCUGCGGCCUCGGCUGUCUGAAAUUUGCACCGGGCUGCUGUUUGUAAAGGGCUUUACAGCUGUCAGUCCUCAUGAUGCCUGUCACCUCCUCACACACUCACACACAGGAUUACAGAGCAGGCCUGAAGAUCACGGCCUGAAAGCCAGAUAAAAUGUCCCCCAACGCGGGCCACUUGACUGACUAAGCUGGUUGUCAUCGUCUGAGAGAGAUUCCAGCUCUUGUAAAAACACAGAGCUCAGCCCUUCACUUCAGCACGGUCGCUCCUGUGAUUGUCAGGCACACGCGAUGCUCAAAGCAACUGAAGGAAGCA